rnacentral:rRNA from 1 species
CCUACGGGCGGCAGCAGUGGGGAAUAUUGGACAAUGGGGGAAACCCUGAUCCAGCGACGCCGCGUGAGUGAAGAAGUAUUUCUGUAUGUAAAGCUCUAUCAGCAGGGAAGAAAAUGACGGUACCUGACUAAGACGCCCCGGCUAACUACGUGCCAGCAGCCGCGGUAAUACGGAGGGGGCAAGCGUUAUCCGGAUUUACUGGGUGUAAAGGGAGCGUAGACGGGGCAGCAAGUCUGGUGUGAAAUCCCAGGGCUUAACCACGGAACUGCUUUGGAAACUGUGCCGCUUGAGUGCAGGAGAGGUAAGCGGAAUUCCUAGUGUAGCGGUGAAAUGCGUAGAUAUUAGGAGGAACACCAGUGGCGAAGGCGGCUUACUGGACUGUAACUGACGUUGAGGCUCGAAAGCGUGGGGAGCAAACAGGAUUAGAUACCCGAGUAGUC